rnacentral:rRNA from 1 species
AGCGAACGCUGGCGGCAGGCUUAACACAUGCAAGUCGAGCGGGCAUCCUUGUGGUGUCAGCGGCAGACGGGUGAGUAACGCGUGGGAACGUGCCCUUCGGUUCGGAAUAACUCAGGGAAACUUGAGCUAAUACCGGAUACGUGCGAGAGCAGAAAGGUUUAUCUGCCGAAGGAUCGGCCCGCGUCUGAUUAGCUAGUUGGUGAGGUUAUGGCUCACCAAGGCGACGAUCAGUAGCUGGUCUGAGAGGAUGAUCAGCCACACUGGGACUGAGACACGGCCCAGACUCCUACGGGAGGCAGCAGUGGGGAAUAUUGGACAAUGGGGGCAACCCUGAUCCAGCCAUGCCGCGUGAGUGAUGACGGCCUUAGGGCUGUAAAGCUCUUUUCUCCGGGACGAUAAUGACGGUACCGGAGGAAUAAGCCCCGGCUAACUUCGUG